ensembl:lncRNA
GCCCUACCCAGGAUUAAUAUAUUGUUCUUAAUAAAGUGUUCAGUGAAUGUACAGUACACUGAAGACAGCAUAUUUCCCACUGGCAUCACUACCAGAUAGCCUUUUAGAAUCCCUUUCUCUAAAGAAACCCACAUUGAAAUGAUUCUCAUGGCUGGAUCAGGAAGCUGUUGCAUGGUUGUGAUGUACUUUAACAGGAAACGUGGCUCCAGACACCUGUCUACACUGCCAGAGAGAAUCAUGUUACUGUGAUGAGGCAAGAUCUGACCAAUGAGCUGCUGUGAGAACAGCAGGCGAAGGUGGUGGGAACUCUCCUCCCAUCUCUCUCUCUCCGCUACGCUCCUUUACACAACCUUACCUGGGAAAUUCGCACAGGCCCAGGGAGGGGCCAGCAACCUGCUUGCCUAAUGAAUACAAAACAAAACCUCUCACUGACAGGUGAGUUACAGAAGUCAAGUGUGUUCAUUUACUCUUUCUUCUGUUCUUGUUUUUUUUUUCCUUCUC